rnacentral:rRNA from 1 species
AUUGAACGCUGGCGGCAUGCCUUACACAUGCAAGUCGAACGGCAGCAUGGAGAGCUUGCUCUCUGAUGGCGAGUGGCGAACGGGUGAGUAAUGCAUCGGAACGUACCGUGUAAUGGGGGAUAACGUAGCGAAAGUUACGCUAAUACCGCAUACGACCUGAGGGUGAAAGCAGGGGAUCGCAAGACCUUGCGUUAUACGAGCGGCCGAUGUCAGAUUAGCUAGUUGGUGAGGUAAAGGCUCACCAAGGCGACGAUCUGUAGCGGGUCUGAGAGGAUGAUCCGCAACACUGGGACUGAGACACGGCCCAGACUCCUACGGGAGGCAGCAGUGGGGAAUUUUGGACAAUGGGGGCAACCCUGAUUCAGCCAUGCCGCGUGAGCGAAGAAGGCCUUCGGGUUGUAAAGCUCUUUCGGCCGGGAAGAAAUCGCACAGGCUAAUACUCUGUGUGGAUGACGGUACCGGCAUAAGAAGCACUGGCUAACUACGUGCCAGCCGCCGCCGUAA